rnacentral:sRNA from 1 species
UGGCUAUUUAAUGGUACGCGCCGGGGCCAAGGCCGCACCGUGCUGGGCGGGGGUCUGGAGAGCGCAGCAGCCAUGGCCAGCCAUCUCGUGCUCAACAAUGGCGCCAAGAUGCCCAUCCUGGGGCUGGGUACCUGGAAGUCCCCUCCAGGGCAGGUUACUGAGGCCGUGAAGGUGGCCAUUGACGUCGGGUACCGCCACAUCGACUGUGCCCAUGUGUACCAGAAUGAGAAUGAGGUGGGGGUGGCCAUUCAGGAGAAGCUCAGGGAGCAGGUGGUGAAGCGUGAGGAGCUCUUCAUCGUCAGCAAGGUAUCGUUCCGCGGUGGGGCUGGAAGGGGCUCUCGGUCCCAUCAUCUGUUGGUGCAUCAGCCCAAAGCCAAGUCCACACUCAAUACAGCUACACUUUUCACUGAUGAGCGAUUCUUCCAGGGGAAACAUGUCACCCAUGGCCAUACAAGGCUCCAGAGCUUGCCCAUCCUUGGCUCUCUGUUGAACGGUCAUUCCAUCUGGGCCCAUUGCUUACAGUCCCGUGCUGAUGAGGCUGAGGCUGUGGAUUGGCCCUCCCUCUCCAGGGAGUCACUUUCAAGGAUGGAACUUGGUU